UUUUAAUAAUAUAUAACAGUAACACUCAAACGCUAUAUAAAUGAACUGAUAAAUCCAACACGAAUGCUAUCAUAAGUCUGCCACAAUAUUAAUGUUCUAUAUUGCCGAUGAAUUGACAAACUCAUAUAAGAUAUAAUUUAGAUAUAAACUUAUUAAAAGAGAAAACUUCAAAAAAAAACUCUUGUAGUUUCGUACUUUUUCAUUUUAGUACUCUAUAGUUUAAAGUGUAUCAAGUUAGUACCAUGUUGUUUUGCACUUUUUCACUUUAGUAUCCUAUGGUUUAAAAUGUAUCAAGUUAGUAUUCUGUGAUUUUAUUUUUGUAUCAAGUUAGUAUCAUGUGGUUUUAUUUUUAUAUCAAAUUAGUAUCCUGCGGUUUUUAAACCACAGGGUACUAAACUGAGAAAGUGCGAAACCACAGAGAACUAACUUGAUACACUUUAAACCGUAUGGUACUAAAGUGAGAAAGUGCAAAAUCAUAGGAUACUAAUUUGAUACACUUUAAACCACAUAAUACUAAAGUGAGAAAAAAUGAAACCACAUAUUGAAGUUUUUUCUUAUUAAAAUUCUUACAAUACCACCACAUAAACAACAUUCAUAGACAAUAUAAGCAUACGCCCAAGCCUUAUCCCAUCAAACAAUAUGUGGGUACAAAAAAACAUAAAAAAAUUCAUAAUUUCUUCAAACUAUAAAUUAUUUUAAAUUAGCUACUAAAAAUUUAAUUUUUUUAAAUUUAUUUCAUUUGAAUUAGUCUACAGUGCUUUACCUUUAACAUUUAAGCUAAUUAUUUAUUUAAAUAGAAUUAUUAUUGCAAAAAUUAUAUAAAAUAUAUUUAAUUUGUAAAAAUAAAUAAUAUAUUUAAAUUUUAAAAUAUUAUUGGCCGACUCAAAUCAAAAGAAUUGAAAAGUUAAACGGUAAAAUUAAAAUUUUUUAAAAAUUAAAUAGUAACUCAAAAUAAUCAAUAAUUUACAUAAAUUUUAUCAAUUUUCACCUUAAAAAAUAAAAAAUAAAUAAAAGAGAUAAUCUAUUACUAUAUAUAAAAGUAGAACCCUUAAUGAACCUUAUGUGAGAAGCUGGCACGUGGCUUUCUAUAUUCUUGCCACGUGUCAAACUCAAAUAUGAAUAUUUGGUUACGAUAUGAAUUAUUUAAAAUUAUUGGUUUAAUUAAUUAUUUAAAAUUAUUGGUUGCGAAAUUUACUAUAUAUAAAAGUAGAAGCGGUUGCUUUGAAAUUAUUCUUUGCGAAGGAAUUUUUAAGUAGUAUAGAUAUCAUUUUUAUUAUGUUGAGAUAUUUAAAAAAUUUAUGGAUAUUAUGUUGCGAAAGAAUUGGCGGUGCGGAUAUUACGCGUAAGAAAAAAAAAUAUUUAUCUUUAUUUGGAAAUAAAUUAUUACUUAGUUAAUUAUUUAAAAUGAUUGGUUGAAAAUUUUUAGACAUAAAAAUAUUAGUAAAAAAGGAUAGAAACAUUUUUGGAAAGAGGAAAAAAUUUGAAACUCACAUCACUCCUGUAAUUUUCUUCGCUCUUAAAUAUUGAUGCUUUAAAAUAGAACAUAUUAUUUCCCUACUGUCACUUCUGUAAUUUUUAUUUNUAUGUAGACAUAUUUUGCUUUUAUUGCAUACUUAUUAAUGUCUGCUACGCUUUUGUAAUGUAUGCUAACGGAUGGUUUGUCUUUUGUAUUGUUUUAUCGUCAAUGUUUCGUAAAGUUUGUAGCAUAGUCUAUAUUGUGUUAAAUAUUUAAUAAGAUGGUUAGAAAUAUUCUUAUAUGAUUAUUAAUAUGUUGUUUGCAAUAUGGAUUGAAAUGUAUGUAAAAGGUGGAAAGACAGUGUUUGUAACAAAUGGUAUAUAACAUGUGUAUGAAAAGGUUUGAAUGUUUCUUUAUUUUAAUAUAGUUAUUAAUUUGGUAAGUUUGUUAUAAAUCUUAUUGCAGUAUGAAAGUUUAAAUUUAUUUUUUCGAGAAGUAUAAUUUACUUCUAACG
rnacentral:lncRNA from 1 species